GUUUGCAGCCAUAACUGAGCACUGUUUGAUUUUCAAAGUUUGGCAGUGUCCUGUCUGAUUAGUACUUAAAAGAGGAGUCUGCUGGGGAAUACUGGGUGCUGUUAACA
ensembl:rRNA 5S_rRNA 5S ribosomal RNA